UAUAAGUUCAGAGACCUGACCAUAGAGGAGCUGAAGACUGUUAGCAAGACCUACCCCAACUUCACGUUCUCCAUGAACACAUACACCUUCAAGGAUGGAUCCCAGAAAGACCUCCUGAAUUUUAGUGGUACUGUUCCAGUGAAAUAUGGUAAUUCCUAUAACAUUCCUAUUCAUCUGUGGAUCCUGGAUUCUCAUCCCUUUGCUCCUCCCAUUUGCUUCCUGAAGCCAACUGCAAACAUGGGCAUUGCAGUGGGGAAACACGUGGAUGCACGGGGCAGGAUUUAUUUGCCGUACCUGCAGAACUGGAGCCAUCCUAAAUCAACACUCAUUGGAUUAAUCAAGGAAAUGAUUGCAAAGUUUGAGGAAGAGCUUCCUUUGUACUCACUCUCAUCUUCUGAUGCAGCCAGGCAAUCAGAACUUCUCUCCUAUAUUGCAAAGAUUACUGAAGGAGAGACUGACAUGAAAUCAAGGAGUAAAACUGGAGGCAGAAAUGAAGGAUGUUUUAACAAAAUUACUGUUGUUGGAGCUGGAGAUCUUGGUAUUGCAUGUGUACUAGCAGUUGCAGCAAAGGAUGUUGCAGACAAGGUGGUUCUUUUGGAUCUUUCUGAAGGUGCAGCAAAAGGAGGGACCAUGGAUUUGGAGAUUUUUGCUGUGCCAAAUGUGGAGAUCAGCAGAGAUUUUUCUGCUUCAGCUGAUUCCAAAGUUGUAGUGCUUACAGUUAAUUCUCUGGGUAAUGCUCAGACUUACCUUGAUGUCAUACAGAGCAAUGUAGAUUUAUUCAGAGGAAUUAUUCCAGCAGUGUCCCACUACAGUCAGAACGCUGUUCUCCUUGUUGCUUCUCAUCCAGUUGAAGUAAUGACAUUUGUGUCAUGGAAGCUGAGCUCAUUUCCCAAAAGCAGAGUAAUUGGAGUGGGCGCCAACCUUGAUUCAGAGAGAUUUCAGUACAUGCUGACCAACCUUUUGAAAGCAGAGAUGCUGGCAAAAGAUGCCUGGGUUAUUGGUGAACAAGGGGAAGACAAAGUAUCAUCAUGGACCAGCUGUAAUGUAGUUGCAAAUCAAACAGAAGCAAUGGCUGAUCGUAACUCAAGGGAAAAGGUGGCUAACAGAGCUAUGGAAAUCCUAAAGGGAAAAGGUCAGAGAUCUUGGUCUGUCGGGCUCUCUGUUGCUGAUUUGGCUGACAGCAUUCUGAAAGAUAAAAGAAAGAUUCAUUCUGUAUCCACUCUAGCGAAGGGGUGUUGCAAUAUAAACAGUGAAGUAUUCUUAAGUCUCCCAUGUAUUCUUGGAACCAGUGGAGUAAUUGAAAUGGUCAGACUGGAGGAAGACCCACUGGUGCAAGAGAAACUGCAAAGCAGUGCAGGCUCAAUUCAUGACCUUCAGCAGCAGCUGAAACUGUAAGGAAGCACAAGGGAAGCCUCUGCGUCUGCUCACUGAAGUUGGAGAUCUGCAAGGCAGAAGAGUAUAAGUAUAGAGACCUAACCAUACAGGAGACAACCAGUGUUAUUACUCAGUACAAGGACCUCAAACCUGUCAUG